AAACAGGCCCAAGGUUUCAGGACUUGUCUAAGGCUACAGGCCAGUGCAUUGCAGAGCCAGAAGAGGGACUUGGGGGGAGAACAGGACCAGGGAAGGCGUGGUCAGCACCCAACCUGACGCAGGCAGGUCUUCGGGGUGGAGUUUGCACAGCAGCCAGGAUGGGGCUCACCUUGGAGAGACUGCCCCGUGUGACAGAGCCCAGAAGACUCUCCAGGCCACAUAAAAGUAAAGGUAGCAGUAACAGAAUCAUCCCUCCAAAGAAACAGGAGUGGUGGAGGAUGUUCCUCAAAGUUGUGCUUAUGAUACUAAAAAAGGAAUCACUCCGACGAUCCAUCGGUAAGAGACCGGGUCAAAUCCGUCGGGACGUUGAUUCGGGAAGGGGUGAGGUGUUUAGCCUCAGCCUCCGUGUAUCUUCCUGGACGGCCCGCCUCUGGCGCAGGGAAGGAAAGUUGGCACAAAGCCUCACAGUGUAUGUACCUGCCCCAAGAAGAAGGGGCUGGAAGGUUCUACUGUGUGUGCGUGACCGCUUUCUCUGCAGAAGGGGUCUUCUGAGCCCCUUCCUCACACCAGGGGCUACACCGGUGUGAUUGGGGGCAUGUGUGACUUCUGCAAGGAGGGAGAGAGGAGCCAUUCUCAGUGUUUUGGGAACUCAAGAGCCCUGGUAUCUGCAAUUCCCGCCUGGUGCUGUGGGCGCCCGCCCUGUGACUCCCAGCCUCUCCGAGGACCUCUAGAACCCAAGUCGAGACCCCACGGCUGGGAUUUGGCUUCUGACAGCCCCCUGGGUCUGGGCCAACAACGUGGUAGAGACAGGCUGACAGAGGACCCUGUGUUCCUCAGGAAGUAAGUUCUCCAUUUGAAGAGGGUGUUCCCAAGGAAGUUUCCAGGAGUGUUUCUAUUGAUUUUUGUUUGCUUUCCUGGAAAAAGUACAGGAUCCAAGGAAAAGUGACAUUUGAAGUGUCUGGUUCAUAGAAGGGGUGGGCACAGCUAUGCUAUGCCAGCCCCCGCGGGCUGUCUUCAAGGGACAGUCACGGUUCUGAUGAGACAUUGUGAAGCAGUGCUUGUAGGCCAGAGUCCAUAACGUGGAGGGAACAGGUGUCUGUCCCCAGCCCAAAAGAGUGGGAGCACCUUACGUUUGGCCGAGGGCUCUCUUUCUUAGGGUUUUAAUGGCUUAACUUACCUACACUAGGCCCUGUGGGAGCAGGUCACAGGGGCAGCAGACUCCUAGGUGGAGAUUAGUGUGUCCCCACCAGCUUUCUUGGCUCGAGUCACCUCAGCCCUGGCAGAGGGGGGCGUGCAGGUACACGGGAGGAUCUGGAGAGGGCUCCGCCUGGGUGCAUUCUGAUUUACAUACCUGCUUUUCCAUCCCAUCUCCUGAGGCUGUGCCAACUCCCCCAAGAGCCUGGCUCAGGGGCCCCGAGGGAAGCCAUGGGUGACAGGGGACUUUCCUCGCUGGCAUCAGAGCCUUGGGGGACACCAGCGGGUCUGUGCUGCACAGUUGCAUGCAUUGGGCACAUGCCUCAGGAAUGGGGAGGAGCUGUUUUCUUGGGCAUGAUUCCUCGAGAUUCUGGUGUUAUCAUUGGUUCUGUCCAGGGUAUGGCUUUCGAGUUCCAGAGUGGCAGAGAACGUGUCUGAUAGGGAAUUUGGAAAUCACCACCCAGCAUCAUUUACUUCCCAGCUGGCUUCCGAAAGCAGCAGUGGAUGAACAUUACCAGAAAACCCUGGCUGGCCAGAGCCGGUCCCAGCACCCCACGGGGCUGACCGGGGGUGCGGGGGUGCUGGCAAGAGGCCCUCACUCGUCCACCACCUCCACGGGGCCCUGGGACGGGUCCUCGCCAACCGCACGUGGCCAUGCCGACCCCCAGGGCCACCUCGGGAGCCUGCCCUGGUCCGGGGCCUCCUCGCGGGCAUUUGUGUGCAGACACCUGAAGGCCAGGGGGAAGAGGUGUGAAGUAAGGCACCAUCUGAGUGGAGAAGGGGCCCGAGCACAAGGGCCCACAGCCGGGAGCAUCGGAGGGGGUGGUGGCAGUACAGACAUUGGGACAGAACAACUAAAAUCUCGUUUAUCAGGUUAUCGCAUGAGGGCAGGAGGCAUUUUCCCGUGUUUCUCAAUGCGUUUUAUAAAACAGAAGCUGUCAACAGCGGAAGAUGUGAAAGGCAGGGAUGUGCCAGCCUCAUUGCUUCCUGCACUGGAAGCCUGUGACUCUGCUGCUUUUCCCAGAAACAGGUGCGUCCAGAGCAGUGGCCAAGGGCCGCCCGGGGUCCACGUCCCCGCCGUCGCCACUGCCUCACCCCCCGCUGCACACCACGAAGGACCCGCCCCAUCUCUGACUCUGGGUGACACCAAGGGCUGAGACAGAGAAGGGAGGAGAGUUCCGUUUCCUCCCUACCACUCUGACUCCAGAGUGCUCACACGUUGGAUGUUCUACGUACGCCAAGGGGUCCCCCACCCCGUGGGUUGAAAAGUCAGUUCUCUCUUACCUGUAACCCCGGAAGAGAAGCAAAGCCACCUGCUGGCCUCCAGGGUGCGCGUGUUGAGUGUGUGUGGUCGUUGUCCGGAGGGCCGACUGUGUCCUCCAGCUGUGGACUCAGAGUCACCCGGCUCCAGACAGACGCACAUCUGGGCCUCCACGGGACCUCCACCAGAGGCACAUCGAGCGGCAGGGAGGGCGUUUGCUUUGAGCACAUGGCUCCACUCCCCUGCGGCCGAGGCAACCGACUCCUCCCGCUCCGUCUCCAGACCAGGAUGCUCCAUGCAGGGCCGAGAACCCGCGUUUACCUAAAGCUGCCUUCUCUUCGACAUGACGCAUCUGAACAUUACAACACCAAGAGGGAUGUAGCUGUCGGUACCUCUCCACGCAAACAUCGGACUUCUGCACCAGGAGGCAGCGUGACAGGUACUCUGUAGUUUCCAGCGAAUUGGUCUCAGAUGUAGAUGAGCAGGAUUUCCCGGGAAGGGAUGGAACCCUGUGGUGGGCUCGGCCCGAACCUGCCGGGGCAUCGCAGGUGCCUUUGUGGCUGACUGUGGGUCCCACCUGCCCCUUCCCUAUCCCACCGGCACCCCAGUCCAGGAGGGUCUCUCCAAGCCUGCCCUCCGAGCAAGGGGCCUUGGGCUACACUCGGCCGACGUCCAUAAUGCUGCCUCUGAACUUGAGCCGCUGUGGCGUCCUCCUUGCUGCGAGAACAGCACCAUGUUUGAACUCUCUCUCAGAAGCUCCUCAAGCCAGGAAUCUCGUUCCCAUUGUGCUGGGGAAAGAUGACGAUGAUGCUCAGACAUGACGUAUGCAUAAAUGGUAGAUCUUGUUUAAAAAAAAAAAAAACGUCUGCGGAGCAAGGCACUACAGUGAUUACUCAGCAUGAGUAGUUGAAACUUCUUUUCUGUGUUUCUCUGUGUAUUCUAAAUUUUUGCAACAGAAAUGUGUUAAUGGCUCUGAUUAUAAGAACAGUGUAUUUACCAGGUUAAGAAGGGCCCCCCGACAGAUGUCUUAAGACUGUACUGGUUGCUGGAGUCUAAUCUCGAGACGACAUGCCUGUCACACUUCUGCUGUGUGCCUGCAGGGCCGGUGGAUGAGAAUGCCCCAGACAAGGUCAUGGGGGGGGGGUGGGGGAAGCAGGCAGCCUCCACAUAGAUGGGCCAUGUGACACCAAUAUGAGAAGGACCCAGCUCAGGGCAUGCUUUCUCAGAAAAUCAAAAGGGGCUUCCUGGAGGAGGCAGGGCAUGCACUGCACCUGUUAUUGCUGGACAGGACAUGGAAGGCCUUUCAAGUAGAAGGAGCUCCAGGCACCUUAGAGCAGAGGAAACCAGGGGCCCAGAGGGCAGUGGUGAUGAUCGGGCAAGGGGGAGGGCCGACACUCUUGCCACCGGGGGUGCGGUGACACGUGUGGAGUCAGCUCUGGGUAGAGUUCCAGAUGGCAAUCAGGAGAGCAGUGCAUGGCAGGCCUCACAGGCAUCAGGGGACACCACGGCCCCGGCAGCCCUGACUUUGUCUGGCGGGAGCCCCCUAGGUCUGCAAAGACCUGCCUCCUCUUACAGCCUUUCCUCACUUACUGCCCUGGGAUGGUGGACUUUUCUGAAUCCCUCCUUUGUCACUGAAGUUCGCCCAGCGCCCCAUGCAGGGAACGGCCACAAGACCCGAGUUCCUGGCAGGGGAGAUAGGCUGUGAGGAGUGCAGGCCCCAAGGAGAUCACGGGGACCUCACCUAGCACCCCGCUGUCCUCGAGGCCAGGACUGCAUCACCGGCACCCUGGGGACCCAUGAGAACGGAGGCGCCUUGCCCGGCGGAGAAGCCUGCUUGUCUCUGCAUCCCGUGUUUUACAUAAUUAGGACGUACGGAGCCGUCAGCAAACCAUUAAUCUCUCUUUGAACCACGGUGACAAUGUUUACAUUUAAGAUCAAGAUGACGGUUAUUGGAAGAACUCCCCCAGAAGCUCUUCUCACAGCUGGAGAAACACCGCAGCGGGUGAACAGAGAGAGCCGUUGCCGUGCCAGAAGUGACCACGAGGCGGUCCGGGAGACCCACACUUACAGAGGGCGCUGCCCGGGGAGGCAGGCGUCUGACGGAAGCUUGUCCGCAGGUUGGAGCCGGCUUCGAGAACGGGGAAGCCUGAGCCACGCGGUUCGUGGCUGGGCAUUCUGGCCACGCUUGUGGGAACCUGCUUUCGACAAACCAACUACAAGGAGAAGUUUCUGAAAAGAAGUGUUUCUAGAAUUUGUGCCCGAACAACACAGAAAAUAACCAGGGACUCGCGGAGGUGAAAAGCCAGCUUUCUGAGCAUUCUGGGAACCUUCUGGCAAGUCCUUCAUUUUAAGAGAGACCUCUGGGUGCCCUCCAACACCCUGUGGGGCCUUCCCCUGGGCAUUGUCCAUCUUGGCACUUUGCACACUGAGCGCUGAGACCCAACGCCUUGUAAGGUCUGGUCAAAUGGCGGUCCCUGUGUUGGCACGACAGAGCCUUCUUUGUCACAGGCCUUUUCAGAGAGCACUUUAGUAAAUACGGGACAUUACCAACAAAACGCUGACAUUUUCAUCCUUCAUCAGAACUGGCAGCUGCGAUCCUUACAACAUGCCGUGAUAGGUUGCAUUUCCCCCAAGAAGGAUUAGCAUUUUGCUCCCAAACAACCCAGCUAUGAAGAUGUGAAGCCCAAGGCCACCACCUCAACAUCGGUCCUGAUCCCACUGGGCAGCGAAGCUCUCCUACUUCUCAUUCUAGAAUCAACUCUUGAACACCCACAAAUGUCCGUGCACCCUAAGAGCUGACUAUGGUUAACGUUCCAGGAACCUGAAGAAGAGCCCCUGUAAGACCUGGAAAAAGGCAGUUAGUCUGUGCUGUAUGUGCAGUGACUUUGCACGGUCUUGUGGGGUUACCCUCUGGUGUCCUAGCCCAGCCAUUUCUCCCCCAGGCACACUCCCCAGGGAGUCUGGUGUGUGCCCAGAAUCCAGGCCUGGGUGCAAGAGUGAAAACGGUGGUCAGUCCAGACACCCGUCCAGAGAAGGACAGGUCUCCUAUGAAUCUUGUUGGAAUCUCCUCUCUGCCCCCCAACAACCAUCACCAUAACUCUUUUCAAGACAAACCUGUCCCUACUUUGGAUAUGUCAGGCUUCGUUGAACCAGUGCCCCACAGAUCCUUGGAAGCCCCUUUUCUCUUGUUGAGAAAGUCUAUAAGGCACUGCUUCAUACCGCUCUGAGGCCUUACAGUCCCUUGAUUCAGUCUUUACUCUGAGUCCAUUUGUUCCUUCCUGAAUAUUUUGCUGACUUUUGAAGCGGGAAAUGUGAACAACUUUCCUUUUGGAACCAGUUUCCCCACAUGGAUCAGACCUUGUCAAACAGGCAGCUCGGGGCUGCCCGAUGGCCCCGGAGAGAAAGCCCAGAGCCCUCUGAUGCCUCACAUGGAGAAUAUCAUCCUAAGCAAAGAUGUGGAAGCCAUGAGGGAAAGGCUGACGCACAGAUCACCAGGGGCAGGGGCCGGCGCGUACGGGGACAGAAGCCCAAAGCAAAGCUGUCGACCUGGAGAAGAUCAUUGCAAGGUAUAGACAGAGAAAGAGGUGAGAGCCACAAAAUACAAUGAGCAGCUGCAAAUUAACAAGAAACAGAGGACGCAGUAGAAAAAUGGAGAGAUGACCACAGGUGCUUCACAGAAAACAAAUGGUCCAUGAAUAUGUGAAAUACACUAAACCUCACUGGGAGUUAAGGAAAUGCAGAUUGAGGGGCGCCUGGGUGGCUCAGUCGGUUGAGCG